CGCCCAGGAUCCGAACCCUGGGCCACUGCAGCAGAGUGCACGAACUUAACCACGCGGCCAUGGAGCCGGCCCCAUGUUAUAAGUCUUGAUGUCAGGUCCAAUAUGCUUUUCUGGCAUGAUAAAAAAUGGGAAGAGAAAAGACGAACACGUGACACAGAAGAAGUUGAGAUUUGUACGAUGAAAACUUUUAAAAUCUGGGAAGAUGUAGGGGAAUAAAUGUGCUGAUGGUUUCUGUGAAGAGA